rnacentral:rRNA from 1 species
CAGCUUGCUGCUUCGCUGACGAGUGGCGGACGGGUGAGUAAUGUCUGGGAAACUGCCUGAUGGAGGGGGAUAACUACUGGAAACGGUAGCUAAUACCGCAUAACGUCGCAAGACCAAAGAGGGGGACCUUCGGGCCUCUUGCCAUCGGAUGUGCCCAGAUGGGAUUAGCUAGUAGGUGGGGUAACGGCUCACCUAGGCGACGAUCCCUAGCUGGUCUGAGAGGAUGACCAGCCACACUGGAACUGAGACACGGUCCAGACUCCUACGGGAGGCAGCAGUGGGGAAUAUUGCACAAUGGGCGCAAGCCUGAUGCAGCCAUGCCGCGUGUAUGAAGAAGGCCUUCGGGUUGUAAAGUACUUUCAGCGGGGAGGAAGGCGACAGGGUUAAUAACCCUGUCGAUUGACGUUACCCGCAGAAGAAGCACCGGCUAACUCCGUGCCAGCAGCCGCGGUAAUACGGAGGGUGCAAGCGUUAAUCGGAAUUACUGGGCGUAAAGCGCACGCAGGCGGUCUGUCAAGUCG